rnacentral:rRNA from 1 species
UACGUAGGGACCGAGCGUUGUCCGGAAUCAUUGGGCGUAAAGAGCGUGUAGGCGGCCAUUUAAGUCCUGCGUGAAAUCCUGCGGCUCAACCGCAGGCGGUCGUGGGAAACUGGAUGGCUAGAGUGCGGGAGAGGAGAGUGGAAUUCCUGGUGUAGCGGUGGAAUGCGCAGAUAUCAGGAGGAACACCGGUGGCGAAGGCGGGUCUCUGGGCAACAACUGACGCUGAGGAGCGAAAGCGUGGGGAGCGAACAGG